UACGGGGGGGGCAAGCGUUGUUCGGAAUUACUGGGCGUAAAGGGUUUGUAGGUGGCUUGUUAAGUCAGACGUGAAAUCCCUCAGCUUAACUGGGGAACUGCGUCUGAUACUGGCGAGCUUGAGUGCAGGAGAGGAACGCGGAAUUCCAGGUGUAGCGGUGAAAUGCGUAGAUAUCUGGAGGAACACCGGUGGCGAAGGCGGCGUUCUGGACUGCAACUGACACUGAGAAACGAAAGCCAGGUUAGCAAACGGG
rnacentral:rRNA from 1 species